rnacentral:tRNA from 1 species
GGGGACUUAGCUCAGCGGUAGAGCGCUUGCCUAGCGAGCACAAGGCCCUUGGGUUCAGUCCCCA